rnacentral:rRNA from 1 species
ACGGCUCAGUAACACGUGGCUAAUCUGCCCUUGGGACUAGAACAACCCCGGGAAACUGGGGCUAACUCUAGAUAGGUGAAGAACUCUGGAAUGAGUCUUUGCCUAAAUAGGUUCACGUUAUCCUCGUGAACUUGCCCAAGGAUGAGGCCGCGACCGAUCAGGUUGUUGGCGAGGUAAUGGCUCACCAAGCCUUUUACCGGUGCGGGCCGUGGGAGCGGGAGCCCGGAGAUGGGUACUGAGACAAGGACCCAGGCCCUACGGGGCGCAGCAGUCGCGAAACCUUUGCAAUACACGAAAGUGUGACAGGGCUAUCCCGAGUGCCAUCCGCUGAGGAAGGCUUUUACCCAGUCUAGAACGCUGGGGGAAUAAGGAGAGGGCAAGUCUGGUGUCAGCCGCCGCGGUAAUACCAGCUCUCCGAGUGGUGUGGAUGUUUAUUGGGCCUAAAGCAUCCGUAGCUGGCUAGGUAAGUCCCUUGUUAAAUCCACCGAAUUAAUCGUUGGAUCGCGGGGGAUACUGCUUGGCUAGGGGACGAGAGAGGCAGACGGUAUUUUCGGGGUAGGGGCGAAAUCCUAUAAUCCCGGGAAGACCACCAGUGGCGAAGGCUGUCUGCUAGAACGCGCCCGACGGUGAGGGAUGAAAGCUGGGGGAGCGAACCGGAUUAGAUACCCGGGUAGUCCCAGCUGUAAACGAUGCAGACUAGGUGUUUGGACGGCCACGUGCCGUUCUAGUGCCGCAGGGAAGCUGUUAAGUCUGCCGCCUGGGGAGUACGAUCGCAAGAUUGAAACUUAAAGGAAUUGGCGGGGGAGCAC